GUGCUCACUUCGGCAGCACAUACUAAAAUUGGAACAAUACAGAGAAGGUUAGCAUGGCCCCUGUGCAAGGAUGACACGAAAAUUCGUGAGCAUUCCGUAUUUUUA
rnacentral:snRNA from 1 species